UACAGAGGGUGCGAGCGUUAAUCGGAAUUACUGGGCGUAAAGCGUGCGUAGACGGCUAUCUAAGUCGGGUGUGAAAGCCCCGGGCUCAACCUGGGAAUUGCAUUCGAGACUGAAUAGCUAGGGUACGGUAGAGGGAAGUGGAAUUUCCGGUGUAGCGGUGAAAUGCGUAGAUAUCGGAAGGAACACCCAGGGGGAAACCAGCCGGACUGGGCAAGUGCUGACGCUGAGGUGCGAGAGCGUGGGGAGCGAACCGG
rnacentral:rRNA from 1 species